AAGACUUUGGAGUUAGACGCCGUGAACACUGAUUCCAUCCGAGAUUCCACAUUACAUUUAGUUGUCGUGUCUGCUGAGGCUGCUCAUGGCUGAGACGGUUUCUUAACUUCCCUUGGUUUUGAUGACCUUGACAGCUCUGAGGGGUACUUGUCAGGUCUUCUGUAGAAUGCCUCUCAACUGAGAUUUCUGACGAUUUUCUCAUGAUUAGACUGCGGUUACACGUUUUGGGGAAGAAGACCACAGAAGUAAACUGCCAUUUUCAUCGCAUCAUAUCAAGGGGCCAUACUAUCAACAUGACCCGUCACUGUUGAUUUUGACCUUGAUUCCCUGGCUGGUGGCGUCUGUCACAUUUCUCCACUGUAAAGUGUCUCCCUUUCUUUUCCCUUUUCUGUACUGUACUCUGGAAGGACGUCACUGUGUGAAGCCCACACUUCUGGAGUGGGGAGUAAUGCUCCCCGCUGCGUGAGGGCAGAGUACCUACGUAAUUAUUUGAAAUUCUUCUGCACGCGAGAUUUGUCUAAUUUAUUCAAUCAAAUAUCAAUAUGGACUUGUGGAUAUUUAUUUUAUACUUUGGGUUGUAACCCAAUACUAGUUUAUUUUUCUCCUCAAAUUGUUCCACGUUUCGCCGUUGGGAGCUCUUUCAUCUGGCUCCCUCAUCCUUUUGACAUACUUGUAAGGUUGUGAGUUUAUCCUUGUUUGUUUGUUUCUUUGAGCACUUUCUUACUUUCUCACACUACAAGAUGCUACAGGCUUAUCUUGUAUAUUUCCUGCCCCGGUCCUAGGAUCGGUAGUCUACUAAUUUUUGACACUUGGAUUAUUUCCAGGUUUUUUUGUUUCUUUGUUUUUUGUUUUUUUUUUACCAUUUCUAAACAAGACUGCAAUGAACAUCUUUGAGAAUAUAUUCAUAGCAUCUCUAUUUAUAAAAGCCAAGACACUGCAACAGGUGAACCUGUAAACAAGCUGUGGUAGAACGAGACAAUGGAAUACUACUCAGCAAUGAGAAGAAAGGAACUAUUGCUAUGUGUAACAACAUACAAACAUCUCAAGAACACGCUGAGCCCAGACACAAAAGAGUGCAUUCAGGAUGAUUCCAUCUAUAUGAAGUUCCAAAACAGGCAAAACUAAGUCAUAAGGACAGAAAAUAAGCCAGUGCCUGGGGUGGGGUGCGAGGGGGGAGGAGACUGAUGGCAGAGGGCUCAAGGGGGCUUUGUGGGGUGAUGGAAAUGUUCUGUAUCUUGAAUGUAGUAGUGGUGACAUGGGUUUAUGCAGUUGUCAAAACUCUUUGUGCACUUAAAAUGUGGUGCAUUUCGUUGUAUGUAAAUUAUACCUCUAUGAAGUUGAUUAAAAGAAAACAACAUUAAAACUGAGUCCAGAUUGCAGGAAAAGCACCCCGAGGAGAGAGAAUAGGCAGGGAGACAUGGGCUCACCCUUGGCAGGUGUCCUCAGGGAAGGAGGCAGGCCCUCGUUGGCCUCUGUCACCCACGCUUGCCGCGCGGAGAUUCUCAUUCUGAUUCUGAUACGUGCCCCUCCCCGCGCCUCACCUCACCGCUGGAGGAGAGAAGGCAGCCCUCGUGCUGAACCAGCCCAGCUGCAGGGCCUGCGAUAGGGAGAAUGCAGGCUGCAGACACUGAGGGUGGACCCGCCGUCCCCCGCAGCCUGGAGGCUGGACAUGCCUUGGGACAUGUCCGCUUGUUGGGGUGCAGGGAAAAGUCUGGAACAGGCAGGGACCCAGGCAGCUUUGCUGCAGAAGCCUCGCUGACAGUACCUGGCAAAACUAGGGGCGCCUCCUCACUGCCUGCGCUCACAGGCAGAGGUUUGUGCAAACGCCAGGUAGGGGGUGGCCUGCUGGCUUGAAAUCGCCUCGCCAAGGGGGGAGCCCCAAGUCCUGGCACAACCAGCAGCAAGAGGAUACCUCGAAAAGGAGGCAGCACUGGGGGCUGGGGAGGACGGCAGGUGCCGGUGACACCGCAGGAGCGGCUCCUUGGAGGGUCCUGAGGAGGCCAGGCUUUGUGGACUCUGGCCUCAAGGGACAUGCCUGAGUGUCCCCGUCCACCUGCCGGCAGCCAUGCUGCGCGAUGAGCAGGACCACCUUAUGGAAACUUCAAGGGAACCUGAGCAGCGUGGGGGAGGGGGACAUUCGUAAAAGACUCGAUCUGCUGCCUGAGCAGAGUCUUGAGAUUGGAGGUAUUUAUGUAACAUAAGCUCAUCUGUUCCUUCGGGAACCUUUGUGGAGGGCCCUCAGUGAGUCAGCUGGUGUUUUAGUCACUGGGGGCAAAGCCGGGGCAAGACAGUCCGCUAAGGAGGUGACGCUUGAGCACAGCCCUUGUACCCAUGGGCCGGAGAAGCCUGGAACAUCCUGGUUACGGCGCAGAUGCCUAGCAGGGCAAUUUCUGGGUCAAAGGGCAUAAAUAUUUUGAGGCUUUGGAUAGAUGCUGCUAAAUUAUUCUCCCGCAAGUUUCCUAGGUUGCCUUUUUACGGGGGGGGGGGGGGGGCAACGCUGUGUGUUUUAGGAGGGCUUCAGAGAGUUUAAAGAGCCUGUGCGUGUGUGUGUGUGUGUGUGUGUGUGUGUGGUGGGCAAGGUCUCCUUUUCCAAAUGCCACCUUAGACGGGUGGUUCAAGCUCCUUUCCCACUCAUUUCAGACCUCAGAUUUUAGGAGCUAAACAUCCUAGUAGUUACUGUUCAGAAAGACCUGUGUUUAUGUCCCAGCUCUACCGCUCAUGGGCCGCAGUGCGACUUUGGACACCUUUGCCUAAUGCUGUGUAAGCCUCAGUUUUCUCAUCUGUGAAAUGGGCCUUCUGAUUAGGGCUUGGCUCAAAGAGCUAUGUGAGGGUUAGACAAGACAAUAGAAGCGAGGUACUUCACAGAGGACUCAGCACAUAGUAAGUGCUUGUGACGUUUAUUCUGCAAAAUCAGCAGUACCUGGGGCUCAGGAGCAGGCCCCCAGCACAGGGCAGCGUGCUCCCACGUGGACCCAGAGUUGGCACAGGCCUGCUCUGCGCCUCCUUCCAGACACCAGAUGGGUCAGUGCAGUUCAAUUGUCAUCCACUAAGAUUUCCCAUCUGGCCGAGGUUCCCUCCCCAGGUAGGAGUUAACCCGACUUUAAAAGGCCCCAAAUGAUGUGUGUGUCUGUGGUGUGCGUGUGUAAUUUUUUUCUCCUAGAAAAGAACCCCUAGGGAUCUUUCCACACUCCCCUAAGCAAAACCAGCUGAGCAGAGAGAGCCCAAACUUCUCAAAAACGAUUCACCUCUGCCCUUAGACCAGCUAUGGAAUGUUUUGACCCCAAAGGAUAUUGUAGGGGGAUGUGUCUGAAAAACCGCAGGCAAUUGGGAGCUGCGUCAGAGUGAAACCGUCACGAGCCCGCACACUCUUCAGUGACGGAUGUGGCAAGUUUUGAUCGCUUGCUUGCAAUCCUUUUUUAAAAACCCAAAAUGCAAACACGGCCAGUAUUCCACCUGGAACUCAGGAAAUGUUCUGCCUCUGUUCUCUUCACGUACUUUAUAUCGUGCACAUCAGUUUCUCACAUCCGCUCUCGUCUCUGAACAUCCCGAGGUCCCUGGGCUCGGCGAUCACACCCCAGCAGUUCCUUACGCUUUGCACCGAAAGACGUGCUGCUCGCUCAUCCUCCGCCUCCGCCUCCCCACCUCGGGGUGAGGCGUCUACAGCGAGGAACCGCUAAUCUGGAAAGCCCUGCGAGUCUGGGAUGAGCGACGGCUCCCAAAUACUGAUCUGCAGACCAAGUGUUCACUCAUCUCUAAGAUAAGAUGAGUAAGAGCAAUACAGAGAGGUUUUCGUAAAGCUAAACAUAAUCCAUUUUUGACUCGUAACGAUGUCCUCUUGAUUUUUUUUUUAAAUAUUCUUUUAUGAAAUUUAGUGGAAAUAGAUGAAGGUGAGUUGUGUUGGUUUUUUUAAUACUGUUCUUACUUGGCAACAUUAAAAGUUGGCAAAAUAAAAACUUGGCAAAAGUAUGCUCAUCAAAACGUGUUUUGAGAUUUUCCUAGUCUACAAACUCCCGAAGUCUGGAAUUCACCUGGAAAAGAAGCCACGUGCAUGAACUGAAGGAAAUGUACACAAACGGGAUACGGCUCUGUGCUGUGCUCAGACACGCCAUUUCAGCUCAUCCUUACAACAACUCUGGAGAGGGAGAUAGUAUUUCAUUUGAUGGACCACGAAGGCGAGGCUUCUGGAAGUGAAAUGACGUGCCCACGGUCACUCAGCUAGGCACGGGGAGGGGAAAGCCUAGGAUUUGAACCCGGGCUGCCUGAAUCCGGAUCCAGAGUCCCCCUCUCUGUCUCACAGUGUCUGUUCCUGAACUGCCACACACAACAGGAGAUUAAGAAAAACAUCUAAAAUUGAAGUAGUGCAGAGCCUGACUCGGAAGCCACUGUGAAUAAAUGCCUUCAUAGAUUCAGAACAAUCUUCCCAUCCACGAGAGAGAGAGCGAGAAAGAGAGAGAGAUGAACUGCGGUGUUUUGUGCUCGGUGCACUUUCAAUAAACACAAUGGCUGAAAUUUUGAAAAUGUGAAGUGCUGAACCAUCCAGGACAAGCGAAUUCCUGAUACGAAGGGGCCGGGGCAGG
rnacentral:lncRNA from 1 species